CAGUAGCCACGGGAAUACGUAGGGUGCAAGCGUUAAUCGGAAUUACUGGGCGUAAAGCGUGCGCAGGCGGUUUGUUAAGACAGAUGUGAAAUCCCCGGGCUCAACCUGGGAACUGCAUUUGUGACUGGCAAGCUAGAGUCUGGCAGAGGGGGGUGGAAUUCCGCGUGUAGCAGUGAAAUGCGUAGAUAUGCGGAGGAACACCGAUGGCGAAGGCAGCCCCCUGGGCCAACACUGACGCUCAUGCACGAAAGCGUGGGGAGCAAACAGGAUUAGAUACCCCCGUAGUCCCUGUCUCUUAUAC
rnacentral:rRNA from 1 species